CCUACGGGUGGCUGCAGUGGGGAAUAUUGCACAAUGGGGGAAACCCUGAUGCAGCAACGCCGCGUGAGUGAUGACGGCCUUCGGGUUGUAAAGCUCUGUCUUCAGGGACGAUAAUGACGGUACCUGAGGAGGAAGCCACGGCUAACUACGUGCCAGCAGCCGCGGUAAUACGUAGGGAGCGGGCGUUGUCCGGAAUUACGGGGUGUAAAGGGAGCGUAGUCGGGACUGCAAGUUGGGUGUCAAAUCUACCGGCUCAACCGGUAGCCGCACUCAAAACUGCAGUUCUUGAGUGAAGUAGAGGCAGGCGGAAUUCCUAGUGUAGCGGUGAAAUGCGUAGAUAUUAGGAGGAACACCAGUGGCGAAGGCGGCCUGCUGGGCUUUUACUGACGCUGAGGCUCGAAAGUGUGGGGAGCAAACAGGAUUAGAUACCCUUGUAGUC
rnacentral:rRNA from 1 species